ACGGAAGGCAGCAGUGGGGAAUAUUGGGCAAUGGGCGCAAGCCUGACCCAGCAACGCCGCGUGAAGGAUGAAGGUCUUCGGAUUGUAAACUUCUUUGAUCAGGGACGAAUUUUGACGGUACCUGAAGAACAAGUCACGGCUAACUACGUGCCAGCAGCCUCGGUAAUACGUAGGUGACAAGCUUUAUCCGGAUCUACUGGGUGUAAAGGGCGUGUAGGCGGUUUGGCAAGUCAGAAGUGAAAGUCCCGGGCUUAACUUGGGAGCUGCUUCUGAAACUGCUUAACUUGAGUACUGGAGAGGAUAGUGGAAUUCCUAGUGUAGCGGUAAAAUGCGUAGAUAUUAGGAGGAACACCGGUGGCGAAGGCGGCUAUCUGGACAGUAACUGACGCUGAGGCGCGAAAGCACGGGGAGCAAACAGGAUUAGAUACACUGGUA
rnacentral:rRNA from 1 species